rfam:Bacillus weihaiensis strain Alg07 chromosome, complete genome.
UCUGGUGGCGAUAGCGAAGAGGUCACACCCGUUCCCAUGCCGAACACGGAAGUUAAGUUCUUCAGCGCCGAUGGUAGUUGGGGGUUUCCCCCUGUGAGAGUAGGACGUUGCCAGGC